ensembl:lncRNA
UAUAUAUAUAUAUAUAUAUAUAUAUAUAUAUAUAUAUAUAUAUAUAUAUAUAUAUAUGAUGAUAUAUAUGCAUAUAUAUGAUGAUAUAUAUAUAUAUGUAUAUAUAUCUGAAUAUAUAAUGGGACAUAUGAUGAUAUAUACAUAAUGUCCAUACAUCUGAAUCCCAACUGGGACAUUCCUUAAUAUCGAUUUUUCCGAAAAAAUUGUAAUCGGUACAAUAUCCAUUUAGAGCAUUUAUAAAACAUCUUUAUUCAGCCUUCUCUGGCUGUUUUUGUUUUGAUUUAAGUAGUUGAAGUGGACUAUACUUAACCUUGCAAUGAAUGACUUAGCAAUAUAUUUUAGAGACGCUACCAUUAUCAUCAGCCAGCCAUUGCUUGUUUCUCCUCCUCACUAGUUUGAGUUCAAAGGUCUAUUCUGAAACCCAGCGCUCACUUUAAAUGAAUCAUUGCUCUUUUCAUAAAUAUAACUAUGCUAUAGUUGGCUCAUCAUGCUGUCCCCUUUUUAAUUAUUUGUGACACUUAACCUCUGUUUCCUUUUGAGAGGAACGAAAUGCACUAAUGACUUGUUUCAACAACCACCCAGCUUCAUGCUAUUCAUGUAACGGAUUAUGCAGUAUGUUGUUUUGUAGCCUGCUUCUGUGUUGUGUUGCUUCUUUACUAAUGUUUUACCUCACUCGCUGCUAUAAAUAUUGUACUAACUCAACCAGACAUUGUCAUGCCAUACGUCAAAGCUUGCUGUGUUCCAAGCUGCCUGUAAUACUUUUUUUCCCCCGGCAGAAUGUCAAAUUGCCUGCAAACUUUAUCAGCGGCGUUAAAGCAAUUUGAAUAGUCUUUGGUACAUGGAACGUGUGGUUCCUGGUGAUAUUUCAGAUUAAUUCUGUGCCUUAUCAAAUGGUCAUGCCAUAAAACUUCAGAGAUUAAAAAAAGAAAACUACAUUUUGUACACAUGGUGUCCUCUAACAACAUAUUGCCAUACAUGGUCCUUGGACCACACAAUGCCCGUUUUUUUUUAUAAUAUAACAAUUAUUUUCAACAUGAAAUGAAAAAAACAAUGCUACAGAUUUGAGUCCAGUUUAAGUUUUUGGUCAAGGCAACCCCACUAUCAAUCAAGGUCACAUUUGCAAAGCGGAGUAAUGGGCCUCAAUAACCCGGCAGCCAUCUUGGUUCUAAAUGAUGGCUAUGAUGGUGUUGAGAACCAAGAUGGCUGAAGGUGAAUAAGAACUGUUCGAGACCUAAACCUAAGAAGGGACUUCUUGCUCAAAGGUCUACAGGAUGAAGCAGUGGUAUCUGCUUGCCAAGCAUCCGUUAUGUGUUUAUCCGACAAGGGACUUUUGUGGUAUAUCAGGGAAACGUAGUCUUUCUUUGUUUUUAACAGAAGCUAGCUCAGGACGUAGUGCUGUACUGUUUAUCUGUCAAGUGGGUUUGUACUGCGCUGCCUUAACAGACCACUAUCAUACAGCAGCAAUAGUGCUGAAAGCAAUGUUAUAGCUCGUAUAUUUUCAUAAUUUCUUAACUGACCGUGAAAUGUACCUGGGUAGCAAUCAUAGGAAGCAAUUUGAUUUGUUGUAUGUAAUUGUAUUUUUUUUUCUUCGAUUUUAUGGCAUUAAUGCAGUGGGUUUUUUUGUGACUUUGUGUAACGCAAAGGAAUGAUGGAUUCUAUCUUUGGAUGUUAUGUUCAUGUGUACUGUUCAUGUGGGUUUGAAAAGCAAUACUGUAAAUGUUUUCCGAUUGUACAUUAGUGAUUUCAACAAUGAAAGAGAUUGAUAUGGAUUGAUUUUCAAAAUAAAAUAAUUUGAAUAUCUAUGAUUGGGGUUUUGUGAAUUGAACAGCAAUGGUAUUUGACGUGCCAUCUUCAUAUUUGAUGCUGAUAUUUACAACAGCCGUUUCAUUACUCAUUCAGCCAAGGUUUUUAUCCAACAACUAAGCCCACAUUUCAUUGC